AGACAUAAAACGAUUCAUUUUGGUUCUAUAUUUGUCCGAAGAAAAUGCUUAGCUAAAACCAUCCAAUGCAACCCCCAAUGCAUUCAAUGGUACAGAUCAUGUGGAAAUGCCGAAACUCAUUUUCCGCGUUUUUAUGUGGUUGGCAGUGGGUAUAGGAUAAUAAGUUUUAAGCAUAAAUUGUAUUAGUAAACGUGUUUCUCAUUACUUUAUCACAAAACACUCAAAAGAGUAAUUUGAAAUUCAUUUAACAGUAAUUGCAUUAACACAAUCAAUAAAAAAGUAUUGAAAUUAUCUUUGGAUCAGUGUUUAGGCAACUAAAAACUAAAUCGCUUAAAUGCACAGCCUAAUAAACAAUGGUAUUAUGAAUUGUAGAAACAAUCUCUCACAUCUUCAUCCCAAAUGGACACCGAGUCUACAGAAUAUAAAAACGCAACUGAAACUAAGAUUAGUCAUUGGCAUUACAAUUAAAAAUAUCAAAAACCAACUUUACUAACUUAUCUGGCGACUGGCACACCCCCAUGACCAUCAAAUGAACCAAAAGCGAUGCCAAAUGCCAUCGGAUAGGAGGCUUACUAGAGUGAACAUCAAAUGAACCAUAUGCAAUGCAGAAUGCCAGUAGAUAGAAGGCUUACUAGAGUGAACAUCAAACGAACCAUAGGCAAUGCCGAAUGCCAGAAGAAGAUUGAAGGCUUGCUAGAAUCAACUCCGAGGAUCCAACGCCCUCCCUAUUUCAGCUCCUAUUUGAAGACAAAUUAUGUGCAGCUCUCAGAACUAAUAAAAAACAUCCUGACUACCAUUUUUCACAUUAUUCACCAAAUGAAUAUCAAUGUCGCAAUAUGACAAAAAAAAAAAAAA